AUUGCAGGCUGCAACUCGCCUGCAUGAAGUUGGAAUUGCUAGUAAUCGCGAAUCAGAAUGUCGCGGUGGAAUACGUUCCCGGGCCUUGUACACACCGCCCGUCACACCAUGAGAGUCGAUAACACCCGAAGCCUGUGAGCUAACCUUUUAGGAGGCAGCAGUCGAAGGUGGGGUUGAUGAUUGGGGUGAAGUCGUAACAAGGUAUC
rnacentral:rRNA from 1 species